UAUACCGUGAAACUGCGAAUGGCUCAUUAAAUCAGUUAUCGUUUAUUUGAUAGUACCUUACCACUUGGAUAACCGUGGUAAUUCUAGAGCUAAUACAUGCUAAAAACCCCGACUUCGGAAGGGGUGUGUUUAUUAGAUAAAAAACCAAUGCCCUUCGGGGCUCUUUGGUGAUUCAUGAUAACCUAACGGAUCGCAUGGCCUUGCGCCGGCGACGGUUCAUUCAAAUUUCUGCCCUAUCAACUUUCGAUGGUAAGGUAUUGGCUUACCAUGGUUUCAACGGGUAACGGGGAAUUAGGGUUCGAUUCCGGAGAGGGAGCCUGAGAAACGGCUACCACAUCCAAGGAAGGCAGCAGGCGCGCAAAUUACCCAAUCCCGACACGGGGAGGUAGUGACAAUAAAUACUGAUACAGGGCUCUUUUGGGUCUUGUAAUUGGAAUGAGUACAAUUUAAACCCCUUAACGAGGAACAAUUGGAGGGCAAGUCUGGUGCCAGCAGCCGCGGUAAUUCCAGCUCCAAUAGCGUAUAUUAAAGUUGUUGCAGUUAAAAAGCUCGUAGUUGAAACUUGGGUCUGGCUAGCGGGUCCGCCUCACCGCGUGCACUUGUCCGGCUGGACCUUUCCUUCUGGAGAACCUCAUGCCCUUCACUGGGUGUGUUGGGGAACCAGGACUUUUACUUUGAAAAAAUUAGAGUGUUCAAAGCAGGCCUUUGCUCGAAUACGUUAGCAUGGAAUAAUAGAAUAGGACGUGCGGUCCUAUUUUGUUGGUUUCUAGGAUCGCCGUAAUGAUUAAUAGGGAUAGUCGGGGGCAUCAGUAUUCAAUUGUCAGAGGUGAAAUUCUUGGAUUUAUUGAAGACUAACUACUGCGAAAGCAUUUGCCAAGGAUGUUUUCAUUAAUCAGUGAACGAAAGUUAGGGGAUCGAAGACGAUCAGAUACCGUCGUAGUCUUAACCGUAAACUAUGCCGACUAGGGAUCGGGCGAUGUUUCUAUCUUGACUCGCUCGGCACCUUACGAGAAAUCAAA
rnacentral:rRNA from 1 species